UACGGAGGGUGCAAGCGUUGCUCGGAAUUAUUGGGCGUAAAGGGUAGGUAGGUGGUCUCAUUUGUCUGGGGUGAAAGCCUUGAGCUUAACUCAAGAAGUGCCUCGGAAACGGUGAGACUAGAGUCUUGGAGAGGGUCGUGGAAUUCCCGGUGUAGCGGUGAAAUGCGUAGAGAUCGGGAGGAACACCAGCGGCGAAGGCGGCGACCUGGACAAGUACUGACACUCAACUACGAAAGCGUGGGGAGCAAACAGG
rnacentral:rRNA from 1 species